rnacentral:rRNA from 1 species
UGGGGAAUAUUGCACAAUGGGCGCAAGCCUGAUGCAGCAACGCCGCGUGAGGGAUGACGGCCUUCGGGUUGUAAACCUCUUUUAGCAGGGAAGAAGCGAAAGUGACGGUACCUGCAGAAAAAGCACCGGCUAACUACGUGCCAGCAGCCGCGGUAAUACGUAGGGUGCAAGCGUUGUCCGGAAUUAUUGGGCGUAAAGAGCUCGUAGGCGGUCUGUCGCGUCUGCUGUGAAAUCCCGAGGCUCAACCUCGGGCCUGCAGUGGGUACGGGCAGACUAGAGUGCGGUAGGGGAGAAUGGAACUCCUGGUGUAGCGGUGGAAUGCGCAGAUAUCAGGAAGAACACCGAUGGCGAAGGCAGUUCUCUGGGCCGUAACUGACGCUGAGGAGCGAAAGCGUGGGGAGCGAACAGGAUUAGAUACCCUGGUAGUCCACGCCGUAAACGUUGGGCGCUAGAUGUGGGGACCAUUCCACGGUUUCCGUGUCGCAGCUAACGCAUUAA